AGCGUACACGGUGGAUGCCCUGGCAGUCAGAGGCGAUGAAGGACGUGCUAAUCUGCGAUAAGCGUCGGUAAGGUGAUAUGAACCGUUAUAACCGGCGAUUUCCGAAUGGGGAAACCCAGUGUGUUUCGACACACUAUCAUUAACUGAAUCCAUAGGUUAAUGAGGCGAACCGGGGGAACUGAAACAUCUAAGUACCCCGAGGAAAAGAAAUCAACCGAGAUUCCCCCAGUAGCGGCGAGCGAACGGGGAGCAGCCCAGAGCCUGAAUCAGUGUGUGUGUUAGUGGAAGCGUCUGGAAAGGCGUGCGAUACAGGGUGACAGCCCCGUACACAAAAAUGCACAUGCUGUGAGCUCGAUGAGUAGGGCGGGACACGUGGUAUCCUGUCUGAAUAUGGGGGGACCAUCCUCCAAGGCUAAAUACUCCUGACUGACCGAUAGUGAACCAGUACCGUGAGGGAAAGGCGAAAAGAACCCCGGCGAGGGGAGUGAAAAAGAACCUGAAACCGUGUACGUACAAGCAGUGGGAGCACGCUUAGGCGUGUGACUGCGUACCUUUUGUAUAAUGGGUCAGCGACUUAUAUUCUGUAGCAAGGUUAACCGAAUAGGGGAGCCGAAGGGAAACCGAGUCUUAACUGGGCGUUAAGUUGCAGGGUAUAGACCCGAAACCCGGUGAUCUAGCCAUGGGCAGGUUGAAGGUUGGGUAACACUAACUGGAGGACCGAACCGACUAAUGUUGAAAAAUUAGCGGAUGACUUGUGGCUGGGGGUGAAAGGCCAAUCAAACCGGGAGAUAGCUGGUUCUCCCCGAAAGCUAUUUAGGUAGCGCCUCGUGAAUUCAUCUCCGGGGGUAGAGCACUGUUUCGGCAAGGGGGUCAUCCCGACUUACCAACCCGAUGCAAACUGCGAAUACCGGAGAAUGUUAUCACGGGAGACACACGGCGGGUGCUAACGUCCGUCGUGAAGAGGGAAACAACCCAGACCGCCAGCUAAGGUCCCAAAGUCAUGGUUAAGUGGGAAACGAUGUGGGAAGGCCCAGACAGCCAGGAUGUUGGCUUAGAAGCAGCCAUCAUUUAAAGAAAGCGUAAUAGCUCACUGGUCGAGUCGGCCUGCGCGGAAGAUGUAACGGGGCUAAACCAUGCACCGAAGCUGCGGCAGCGACACUAUGUGUUGUUGGGUAGGGGAGCGUUCUGUAAGCCUGUGAAGGUGUACUGUGAGGUAUGCUGGAGGUAUCAGAAGUGCGAAUGCUGACAUAAGUAACGAUAAAGCGGGUGAAAAGCCCGCUCGCCGGAAGACCAAGGGUUCCUGUCCAACGUUAAUCGGGGCAGGGUGAGUCGACCCCUAAGGCGAGGCCGAAAGGCGUAGUCGAUGGGAAACAGGUUAAUAUUCCUGUACUUGGUGUUACUGCGAAGGGGGGACGGAGAAGGCUAUGUUGGCCGGGCGACGGUUGUCCCGGUUUAAGCGUGUAGGCUGGUUUUCCAGGCAAAUCCGGAAAAUCAAGGCUGAGGCGUGAUGACGAGGCACUACGGUGCUGAAGCAACAAAUGCCCUGCUUCCAGGAAAAGCCUCUAAGCAUCAGGUAACAUCAAAUCGUACCCCAAACCGACACAGGUGGUCAGGUAGAGAAUACCAAGGCGCUUGAGAGAACUCGGGUGAAGGAACUAGGCAAAAUGGUGCCGUAACUUCGGGAGAAGGCACGCUGAUAUGUAGGUGAAGCGACUUGCUCGUGGAGCUGAAAUCAGUCGAAGAUACCAGCUGGCUGCAACUGUUUAUUAAAAACACAGCACUGUGCAAACACGAAAGUGGACGUAUACGGUGUGACGCCUGCCCGGUGCCGGAAGGUUAAUUGAUGGGGUUAGCCGCAAGGCGAAGCUCUUGAUCGAAGCCCCGGUAAACGGCGGCCGUAACUAUAACGGUCCUAAGGUAGCGAAAUUCCUUGUCGGGUAAGUUCCGACCUGCACGAAUGGCGUAAUGAUGGCCAGGCUGUCUCCACCCGAGACUCAGUGAAAUUGAACUCGCUGUGAAGAUGCAGUGUACCCGCGGCAAGACGGAAAGACCCCGUGAACCUUUACUAUAGCUUGACACUGAACAUUGAGCCUUGAUGUGUAGGAUAGGUGGGAGGCUUUGAAGUGUGGACGCCAGUCUGCAUGGAGCCGACCUUGAAAUACCACCCUUUAAUGUUUGAUGUUCUAACGUUGACCCGUAAUCCGGGUUGCGGACAGUGUCUGGUGGGUAGUUUGACUGGGGCGGUCUCCUCCUAAAGAGUAACGGAGGAGCACGAAGGUUGGCUAAUCCUGGUCGGACAUCAGGAGGUUAGUGCAAUGGCAUAAGCCAGCUUGACUGCGAGCGUGACGGCGCGAGCAGGUGCGAAAGCAGGUCAUAGUGAUCCGGUGGUUCUGAAUGGAAGGGCCAUCGCUCAACGGAUAAAAGGUACUCCGGGGAUAACAGGCUGAUACCGCCCAAGAGUUCAUAUCGACGGCGGUGUUUGGCACCUCGAUGUCGGCUCAUCACAUCCUGGGGCUGAAGUAGGUCCCAAGGGUAUGGCUGUUCGCCAUUUAAAGUGGUACGCGAGCUGGGUUUAGAACGUCGUGAGACAGUUCGGUCCCUAUCUGCCGUGGGCGCUGGAGAACUGAGGGGGGCUGCUCCUAGUACGAGAGGACCGGAGUGGACGCAUCACUGGUGUUCGGGUUGUCAUGCCAAUGGCACUGCCCGGUAGCUAAAUGCGGAAGAGAUAAGUGCUGAAAGCAUCUAAGCACGAAACUUGCCCCGAGAUGAGUUCUCCCUGACUCCUUGA
rnacentral:rRNA from 1 species